GAUCCAACAAGAAUAUAAACGAUGUUACAAUAUUGAGUCCGGUGUUGACGGUUUAAGAACCUAUCCAAAACUGAAUAUAAAUUAUUUUUAAGAAGUAUAUAAAACAGAAUAAUUAAGAAAUACAUGUAACAACGGAUUAGGCAAUUAUUGUCCAUUGUUCAGAUAAUCUGCUAAAACUGUCUUUGACACGUAGAUACGAAGUCCAUUAUCGGAUUAGUCGAAACAUACAUUUUAAACCAAAGAUAAUUGUGUGGGAAUAUUUCAGCUAAAAAUGACAAUUGAAAGAUAUAGUAAUUAAAGUCAGAAAGAUGAUAGUCCAAAUAAUUAGCAUGCUUUUCGUCCGGUCAUACAUGCCCCUCUCGUCCAGAAUCACGUCCACGGGAUUUGAAUUUUCAUAACUAAUAUCUUCUUCCACGGUAGUGAUAGUUACGCCUGUUUUGAUGAUAAUUUCCUGAAUUUGUUCGAGUGUUGUUUUUUAAUUGUUCUAGUUCAUGUUCGUAAUUUUUGCAAAUUGCCUUUAAAUCAAGUUCACUUUUUCUAACUACAUUGUACAUUUCUGAAACAUCACUACAAUGUAAUUUCCAAUUUUCUUUUUCUUCUUUUAUCUCAG
rnacentral:lncRNA from 1 species